GAUGAACGCUAGCUACAGGCUUAACACAUGCAAGUCGCGGGGCAGCAUGGGGGUUGCUUGCCAUCCCCGAUGGCGACCGGCGCACGGGUGAGUAACGCGUAUUCAACCUGCCCUUCACCACGGGAUAACCCGGCGAAAGUCGGACUAAUACCGUAUGUUGUCCAUUGACGGCCUCCGAUUUGGACGAAAGGCUUGGCGGUGAGGGAUGGGGUUGCGUCCGAUUAGCCUGACGGCGGGGUAACGGCCCACCGUGGCUACGAUCGGUAGGGGUUCUGAGAGGAAGGUCCCCCACACUGGAACUGAGACACGGUCCAGACUCCUACGGGAGGCAGCAGUGAGGAAUAGUGGUCAAUGGGCGUAAGCCUGAACCAGCCAAGUAGCGUGCAGGAGGACGGCCCUAGGGGUUGUAAACUGCUUUUAUGCGGGGAUAAAGUGGCCCACGUGUGGGCUUUUGCAGGUACCGCAUGAAUAAGGACCGGCUAAUUCCGUG
rnacentral:rRNA from 1 species